rnacentral:rRNA from 1 species
GAUGAACGCUGGCGGCGUGCCUAAUACAUGCAAGUCGAGCGAACGGACGAUAAUCUUGCUUCUCUGAUGUUAGCGGCGGACGUGUGAGUAACACGUGUAUAACCUACCUAUAAGACUGGGAUAACUUCGGGAAACCGGAGCUAAUACCGUAUAAUAUUUUGAACCGCAUGGUUCAAAAGUGAAAGACGGUCUUGCUGUCACUUAUAGAUGGAUCCGCGCUGCAUUAGCUAGUUGUUAAGGUAACGGCUUACCAAGGCAACGAUGCAUAGCCGACCUGAGAGAGUGAUCGGCCACACUGGAACUGAACCACGGUCCAGACUCCUAAGGUAGGCAGCAGUAGGGAAUCUUCCGCAAUGGGCGAGAGCCUGACGGAGCAACGCCGCGUGAGUGAUAAAGGUCUUCGGAUCGUAAAAAUCUGUUAUUAGGGAAGAACAUAUGUGUAAGUAGAUGUGCACAUCUUGACGGUACCUAAUCAGAAAGCCACGGCUAACUACGUG